AACGGACGCUGGCGGCAGGCUUAACACAUGCAAGUCGAACGGCUGUAGCAAUACAGCAGUGGCAGACGGGUGAGUAACACGUGGGAACCUUCCUAGGGGUACGGAACAACUCAGGGAAACUUGAGCUAAUACCGUAUACGUCCGUAAGGAGAAAGAUUCAUCGCCCCUAGACGGGCCCGCGUCGGAUAGGUAGUUGGUGGGGUAACGGCCUACCAAGCCUACGAUCCGUAGCUGAUCUGAGAGGAUGAUCAGCCA
rnacentral:rRNA from 1 species